GGGGCUGUGGCUCAGUGGCAGAGCAUCUGAUUUUGCAUGCAGAAGGUCCUAGGUUCAAACCCUGCCUGCUCCA